GAUGAACGCUGGCGGCGUGCCUAAUACAUGCAAGUCGAGCGAACAGACGAGGAGCUUGCUUCUCUGACGUUAGCGGCGGACGGGUGAGUAACACGUGGAUAACCUACCUAUAAGACUGGGAUAAAUUCGGGAAACCGGUGCUAAUACCGGAUAAUAUUUUGAACCGCAUGGUUCAAUAGUGAAAGACGGUUUUGCUGUCACUUAUAGAUGGUUCCGCGCCGCAUUAGCUAGUUGGUAAGGUAACGGCUUACCAAGGCAACGAUGCGUAGCCGACCUGAGAGGGUGAUCGGCCACACUGGAACUGAGACACGGUCCAGACUCCUACGGGAGGCAGCAGUAGGGAAUCUUCCGCAAUGGGCGAAAGCCUGACGGAGCAACGCCGCGUGAGUGAAGAAGGUCUUCGGAUCGUAAAACUCUGUUAUUAGGGAAGAACAAAUGUGUAAGUAACUAUGCGCGUCUUGACGUUACCUAAUCAGAAAGCCACGGCUAACUACGUG
rnacentral:rRNA from 1 species